rnacentral:sRNA from 1 species
AACGUGAAGGAUAACGUUGCGUCAGCAACGGCCCGUAGGGCGAGGCGAAGCCGAGUCAUCCUGCACGACCCACCG